rnacentral:lncRNA from 1 species
CUGUUGUUGCUGCCAUUCUUGACAAGGUCACUUUCACCACAUUUCACUGGGAUGGUAGGAGAUGGAACCUUGCCCCGGGUGCUUCUGCAUACAUUACUUUUUAUAAUGUCAAUAAAUUAACUGAGCACUCCCGUAAGCCCUGAACAGCCAUACUAACUUGCUUCCUGCCUAGUCCGUGUUUCUGUGAAUAGAAGUACAAUCCAUGGUGCUGGCAAUACACUCCAUUGGGUUUUCUUGUUUCCCUGCUCCCCUGCCCUAAGAUGGUUAGCAUUUUGGCACCUCUCCCUGGUGACAGCACAAGUCCCAGAGCCCAGUAAAAGGUUCGACGGGAACCUGGCUCAGGUAAGGUACUAGCUUAGAUGGACUGACCCAUUUUCUGAACUCUCUGUGUGGCCUUCUCAGCAUAUUGCCGUAUAUUGCAAAUCUUUGUACAAUGUUUCAGGUUCAGAUUUCCAUUCAAUGUCUUCUCCCUUGUAGUGACCCCAGCAGUGUUACUGUAACCCCACAGGAAGAGAGCUAGAGUUUUAUUUUGCUAAAAUAAAAUCAACUAAUAUUUUUAAGUGCUUUCUGUUUUACAAAAUGCAUUCGCAAACGUGAUUCUUUUGAGCUUCAAAACAAUUCUGGAAGUUAGGUACGUUUAUCUCCAUUUUACAGAUGAGACCCAGGGAGGUGAAGCCACUAGUUGAGCUGGUGAGUGACAGGGUUGGAUCUCAAAACCCUCCUCUUCCUAAAGCAUGAUGCCUUCAGCAAAGGAGAGCCAGAAGGAGGAAAAUGACCACGGGAGAGGAAUACCAGCUUUGCUAGAAGGAAUGAGAGCUGAAGAAGAGUUGAAGGAGUAGAGGCCACAAGUGGGAGCACUUGGACAGGGCAGGCUUGUGAGGCCUAUGGUUGUGAGAGCCUGUGGCUGGAUCUGCUCCUGUGAUUUGGGGGCGUGGUGCCUGGGACUCCAGAGAUGUGGGCCCUUGGGCAAAUCAUGGAACUCACUGAGUCUCAGUCUCCCCAUUUGCAGGAUGGAAAUAACUCCCCCCUCUGCCAACUAGAAGAUUGGUGCUGUGGUGCCUCUGAUGCUGCCUUGGGAUCUUCGAAGGGCAGGGCAAGCCUUUCAGCCAGGUUUACUUACUCCAGGCUUUAAAAACAUGUAUCCGGGGCGCCUGGGUGGCACAGCGGUUAAGCGUCUGCCUUCGGCUCAGGGCGUGAUCCCGGUGCUCUGGGAUCGAGCCCCACAUCAGGCUCCUCCGCUAUGAGCCUGCUUCUUCCUCUCCCACUCCCCCUGCUUGUGUUCCCUCUCUCGCUGGCUGUCUCUAUCUCUGUCAAAUAAAUAAAUAAAAUCUUUUAAAAAAAUAAAUAAA